UACGUAGGGUGCGAGCGUUAAUCGGAAUUACUGGGCGUAAAGCGUGCGCAGGCGGUUUUGUAAGCCAGAUGUGAAAUCCCCGGGCUUAAACUGGGAAUGGCAUUUGGGACUGCAAGGCUCGAGUGCGGCAGAGGAGACUGGAAUUCCUGGUGUAGCAGUGAAAUGCGUAGAUAUCAGGAGGAACACCGAUGGCGAAGGCAGGUCUCUGGGCUGACACUGACGCUCAUGCACGAAAGCGUGGGGAGCAAACAGG
rnacentral:rRNA from 1 species